GAUGAACGCUGGCGGCGUGCCUAAUACAUGCAAGUCGAGCGAACAGAUAAGGAGCUUGCUCCUUUGACGUUAGCGGCGGACGGGUGAGUAACACGUGGGUAACCUACCUAUAAGACUGGAAUAACUCCGGGAAACCGGGGCUAAUGCCGGAUAACAUGUUGAACCGCAUGGUUCUACAGUGAAAGGCGGCUUUGCUGUCACUUAUAGAUGGACCCGCGCCGUAUUAGCUAGUUGGUGAGGUAACGGCUCACCAAGGCAACGAUACGUAGCCGACCUGAGAGGGUGAUCGGCCACACUGGAACUGAGACACGGUCCAGACUCCUACGGGAGGCAGCAGUAGGGAAUCUUCCGCAAUGGGCGAAAGCCUGACGGAGCAACGCCGCGUGAGUGAUGAAGGUCUUCGGAUCAUAAAACUCUGUUAUUAGGGAAGAACAAAUGCGUAAGUAACUGUGCGCGUCUUGACGGUACCUAAUCAGAAAGCCACGGCUAACUACGUG
rnacentral:rRNA from 1 species